UACGUAGGUGGCAAGCGUUGUCCGGAAUUAUUGGGCGUAAAGCGCGCGUAGGCGGCCGCUUAAGUCGGAUGUGAAAGCCCCUGGCUCAACUGGGGAAGUGCACCCGAAACUGAGUGGCUUGAGUACUAAAGAGGGUCGCGGAAUUCCCGGUGUAGAGGUGAAAUUCGUAGAUAUCGAGAGGAACACCGGUGGCGAAGGCGGCGAUCUGGACGAUGACUGACGCUGAGACGCGAAAGCGUGGGGAGCAAACAGG
rnacentral:rRNA from 1 species